UAGCAUAAACUUGUACGCCAGUGUUCCUUCUUCAAAAUAUUAUAUAUUUGAUACUUGAGCUCAUAAUGUUUGCUAAAAAGGAUUUCCCUUUCCGUGAAAGUCAACAUAAGUUCUGGAAUGAAUGACAGUUUUCAAAGUUGAGAUUUCCUUAUUACUUCAGUUAGCAACUAAGUGUUGAGUGUCUACUGUUUGUCUGUCCAUGGAUGAUCCACUUCUCAGGCAUGGGGGCCAUGUGGCUUUAAUCUCUGUGUGCGGAGCUCCAAGCUAAGGGACUGGCACAGCACACCAAAUAGUCCCACAGCAUACAUGGAAGAAUUGCGUUGGUGUGAGAUUUUGAAAAUAUACCCUCCUGACGAUCAGAGAAGAUGAAGACUACCACUCUUUCUGACAAGCAGGAGAGAAGUGGCACUCUAAAGGAAUUGAAGUAACGUG
rnacentral:lncRNA from 1 species